rnacentral:rRNA from 1 species
UACGUAGGGAGCAAGCGUUGUCCGGAAUCAUUGGGCGUAAAGCGCGCGUAGGCGGCCUCAUAAGUCCGUUGUGAAAGUCAAAGGCUCAACCUUUGAAAGCCGAUGGAUACUGUGAGGCUAGAGUCCGGAAGAGGCGAGUGGAAUUCCUGGUGUAGCGGUGGAAUGCGCAGAUAUCAGGAGGAACACCAAUAGCGAAGGCAGCUCGCUGGAACGGUACUGACGCUAAGGCGCGAAAGCGUGGGGAGCGAACAGG